GUUUGAUCCUGGCUCAGAACGAACGUUGGCGGCGUGGAUAAGACAUGCAAGUCGAGCGAGGACUGGGGGGCAACUCCCAGAGCCGAGCGGCGUAAGGGGCAGUAAUGCGUGGGUAACGUACCCCCGGGUUCCGGAUAGCCAGCCGAAAGGCUGGGUAAUACGGAGCGACGUAGCCUGGAGGCAUCUUCGGGCUACCAAAGAUUUAUCGCCCGGGGAGCGGCUCACGUGGUAUUAGCUGGUUGGUAGGGUAAUGGCCUACCAAGGCGAAGAUGCCUAGCUGGUGUGAGAGCACGACCAGCGCCACUGGCACUGAGACACUGGCCAGACACCUACGGGUGGCUGCAGUCGAGAAUCUUCGGCAAUGGGCGCAAGCCUGACCGAGCGACGCCGCGUGCGCGAUGAAGGCCUUCGGGUUGUAAAGCGCUGUCGAGGGGAGGAAAAGCCCGCGAGGGUUUGAUCGGCCCCUGGAGGAAGCACGGGCUAAGUUCGUGCCAGCAGCCGCGGUAAGACGAACCGUGCGAACGUUGUUCGGAAUCACUGGGCUUAAAGGGUGCGUAGGCGGGUUGUCCAGUCUGGGGUGAAAUCCCACGGCUCAACCGUGGAAUUGCCUCAGAUACUGACGACCUCGAGGGAGGUAGGGGCGAGCGGAACUGUGGGUGGAGCGGUGAAAUGCGUUGAUAUCCACAGGAACUCCGGUGGCGAAAGCGGCUCGCUGGACCUCUUCUGACGCUGAGGCACGAAAGCUAGGGGAGCAAACGGGAUUAGAUACCCCGGUAGUCCUAGCCCUAAACGAUGAGGACUAGGUAGUAGGCUAGACAUGGGCUUACUGCCGAAGCAAAGUGCUAAGUCUCGCCUGGG
rnacentral:rRNA from 1 species